rnacentral:rRNA from 1 species
GGACCUGACUGCUAUCGGAUUGAUACUAAGCCAUGCGAGUCAUUGUAGCAAUACAAGGCAUACGGCUCAGUAACGCGUAGUCAACCUAACCUAUGGACGGGAAUAACCUCGGGAAACUGAGAAUAAUGCCCGAUAGAACAUUAUGCCUGGAAUGGUUUAUGUUCCAAAUGAUUUAUCGCCGUAGGAUAGGACUGCGGCCUAUCAGUUUGUUGGUGAGGUAAUGGCCCACCAAGACUAUUACAGGUACGGGCUCUGAGAGGAGUAGCCCGGAGAUGGGUACUGAGACACGGACCCAUGUCCUAUGGGGCGCAGCAGGCGAGAAAACUUUGCAAUGUGCGAAAGCACGACAAGGUUAAUCCGAGUGGUUUCUGCUAAAGAAACCUUUUGUCAGUCCUAGAAACACUGAUGAAUAAGGGGUGGGCAAGUUCUGGUGU